rnacentral:rRNA from 1 species
UACGUAGGGGGGCAAGCGUUGCCCGGAUUUACUGGGCGUAAAGAGCGUGUAGGCGGCCACGCAGGUCCGUUGUGAAAACUGGAGGCUCAACCUCGAGACGUCGGUGGAAACCGUUUGGCUAGAGUCCGGAAGAGGAGAGUGGAAUUCCCGGUGUAGCGGUGAAAUGCGCAGAUAUCGGGAAGAACACCCGUGGCGAAGGCGGCUCUCUGGGACGGUACUGACGCUGAGACGCGAAAGCGUGGGGAGCGAACAGG